GCUCGUCGGUGUGGGGUUCGAGGCGGUUGAGUGAGACGAGACGCGCCCCUCCCACGCGGGGAAGGGCGCCCGCCUGGUCCGGCGAGCGCACGUCCGGUGCUCCCCUCUGGCGGGUGCGCACGGGCCCUACAGGGUCUCACUCUGUCACCCAGGGUGGAGUGCAGUGGUGCAAUUAUGGCUCACUGUAGUCUUGAUCUCCUGGGCUCAAGCAGUCCUCCCAACUCAGCUCCCAAGUAGCUAGAACUACAGUGAUGAAGAAGACAUGCCAACAGAGGGUUAAUUCCAGAUAAAAUGAAAUGUUCCAAACAGUACGUUUGGUUAUUUGAUUCAUCUGUGGGGGAAGGAAAGAUAAUUUUCCAAAGGACAUUCCUCCUAAAUUCUGUCUUAAAGUUGUUUACGGAAUGAAGUUGAUAAUAGUGAGACCUUGUUGGUACAAGACUAUGUAACAUAACCUGCGCUUCUCAACAAAGAAUUGCUUUUCUGACUUCUGCACUCAAUAGCAAGACAAAUCUCUCCUCUGCCUUCUCCUUAUCAGACUACUCAACAUGAAGGCAAUAAGAAUGAAGACCUCUAUGUAUAAUAAUUGACUUCCACUUAAUAAAUAAGGUUACUUGGUACACUGGUCGACAAAACCUUGAAAUGUUGAUGUUUAAGGGCUGUUGAUUGCUGGCAGCAAAGAAGUCCAACUGUGCUGGUACCCGAGAUAGCGUCUCCACAUUUUCUUCCAGGAUCAUCACCUUUGUUCUAAAUAGCUCCCACAUAGUGUGAACAGAAGUCAUAUGUUUUAGAUUUUCUGCCUUGGCA
rnacentral:lncRNA from 10 species